AUGGAGAACGUUGAGAAGGAUCCAAAAGAGGAGCGUGAACCUGCUCUCUUGGCCCAAAAUCAAGAGCCCGCGAGCACGGUCUCCACACAGGAUAUUGAAGAAGACCCCAAUACGCAGACCCAUGAGACGUUUAAUGAGGCUCCUUCAGAGAGCCAAGAGGAGGAGGAGGAGAAGGAGGCGGGAGAGGAAAGUGAAAAGCAUGGGGGGUUGAUGCAGUGGAAGAAAACCGUGGAGGAGUGUGAAGCAAAUGUUCGCAGUCAGAUGUGGGAGACUGUUGAAAAGGACAGGUGUGACAUGACAGAACUGACUGCAACCUCUCAGGCUCAGAAGAGUAACAAACAAAAGAUGAAGGCGAAAAAAGGGACUUUUCAACCGCCGGAGCCAGAGGUUCCCCCGGUGGAGCUCAGACGAGAUCUGAACCGCAUGGAGAAAAGGGUCGGCAGGCACUUUGCACUCGCUGAUGCCAGACAGCACGAGGAGCUCUCGGGUCCCAGCCGGCCUCGGGGAGGGGCGGGCCGGCUUCACGUCGUGUGGCGAGCUGCGGCGUGGGGUCAGAAGACCACGGACUUCUCAGUCGGGCCGAGGGCCGAGAGCCGAGGGGCAACCGGCGAGGCGGAGGAAGGGAAGAUCUCUGCGGUGACGCUGAAAAAAGUGCUGGAGCUGCUGUGUGACAAGGCGGGCUUCCUGGUGGAGGAUACACUGCUGAAAGGGCUGGUUUCCCUGGAGGAGGAGGAACAGACCGUUGUGAAGAUGGCCUCUCUGCUUUGUGUGAGUCCACGCGCCGCCAUGCAUCGCUGCAACGUGUCGAUCAAGCGACGAACAACCAGCCGCACCGCUUUCUCUUCCAGACGUUCGGCCUUGAAGACAAGCACGUGCCAAAGUUGGCGCUGUUCAUAUUGAAGUACAAACCUCAGCAGAAGGCAGAGGGAGCGGAGACCGAGUCUGCGACUCAUUUGACCUCUGAACUCAUCGAUCCUAACCAUGUCAUGCCUGCUCUAAAAGUGUUCCUCGAGCAGCACUCGAAGUCCAGGUGAGACCUUCGCAGUGAUUUAAACAGAUUACUCUGCGUCGGCACAGCAACAGAGGCUGUGUUGUGCUUGUUAAUUGACCGUCUUUUUGUUUUGACGGUCAAUUAUGAUACAACAGUCUUUCUUUCCCUCUGAAUAUGCAAUGCUUUCUUUUUCCUGGUGUUACAAGGGGAGAGCUCAGCCAGCCUGAAAGAAAUAUUCUCCGACACUUCAGAGGAUGAAGCCUACUGGGAAAGAAUGAGCAAUAUAAUCCCUGAAGAGUGAAACCCGCAGAGUAAUCACUAAGACAAAUCACUGUUACACACACACACACACACACACACACACACACACAGCAACCUCUGAACUCAAAUGUUUUGUGUUUUUUGUGUUUCCAGGGCGGUCCUGAAAGACCUCUCGGAGGUCUUCAGCGUUUGGAGGAGAGAGACAGCCUUUCCCAAAGCUGUGGUAUAGAAAACAGUAUGGCUAAUGUUUUAAGGGUUGAUAUUCCCUGUAAUUUUUAUUUUCAAAUGUUAACUAUAUAGUUAGUGCGAUGCUAUGGGUUUUAUUCAGUUGUGUUAUACUAGAGCAAGGAGAUGUAUACUUUUUAUAUCACAUUACACAUUUUGUUGGCAUACUUUGAUAUGAAUGGCAUUCUGUUGUCACAUACUAUACAAUUAAUUUGACUGUAAUCACAAAAAAUAUUGCCAUUUUUUUUUAAAGGUUUUAUGACACCAUACCCUAAGAUUGUUUAUAGAAGUACUAAAACCGACAUUCAACACUACUUAUAUUCUGUAACUAGCUACCUUAUUUUGAAGUUCAUAUAACCUGUUUAAACAAACUCAUUUUUCCCCCAAUAAAACGACUGAAACUUGGAUGUGCCAUGAAAAUUCAGUUUUUGAUGUGGGUGAAAUAGUUUGAUAAAAACAAACAUUUGGGUCUGUGACUAAGGGCAUCAGAUCGUCAUAAAAUAGCUGAACUUGACACCCUCAACCAGGUGAAAAUGAGGAACGUGCACUGUAUUCUCAAUAGGGGCCAGCAUCAGUGGAGCGAGCUACGGGUCCUACAAGAAAACACACAGAAGUAAUAGUGGGGCAAAUGCAAAGUGGAUCACAAGUCUUUAGUCUCCUCUGAGCUGGACUCAAGAGGACGCAGACAAAUCGGGGAGAGUUUAAAACAUGAUUCAAUGUUUUGUCCUUGUAACUAAUCAUAAAAGCAGAGUUUUGACUAAUUAUUAAAGCAAAGCACUGCAGCACGCUGACCAAAGCUGUAACAUGUUUGAAUGCAUCAGUAGUGAAAGGGGAGGUUAGUUUCUGCACCAGAGGCAGAAGCUGGUGGACAACAGACAAGACAUGGUAGGAGUCCUUUUUUAUUUUUUACUUUUUAUUGUGUUUUCUUACAAAAACAUCUUUUAAUCAAAAAGCCCGAAGCCCAUGUCAUCGUCGGACUCCUCGGACUCCUCUUUCUUCUCUUCCUUCUUCUUCUCCUCCUCCUUGGCUGUAGGUAAACGAGACACGGCAUGGUUAACCGAGUCCUAGAGCAGACAAACUACGGCUUUUCACAUCAAGCCCAUGUAAAAACACACUCCCCGUUAACUCUAACCACUAGUUACCUGGGGCGUCACCAGCACUGGCAGCUGCUCCGGCAGCGGCGGGGGCACCAGCCGGCGCGCCGCCUCCAGCGCCAACGUUGCAGAUCAGGCUGCCGAUGUCGACGCUGGACAGAGCCUACGGGGGGACGACAACACGUACAGGUCAGUGACGAGUGAUGCACGGACCAACGCCAUCGGUCUCAUGUCGGCGAACGCAUUCUGCAGUCUCUACCGGCGCAACAGUCCGGUUUGUCGUCAUUCGGAAUACUUUGGUCACUUUAGCUAUU
ensembl:lncRNA